rnacentral:rRNA from 1 species
AAACCAACCGGGAUUGCCUUAGUAACGGCGAGUGAAGCGGCAAAAAGCUCAAAUUUGAAAUCUGGUACCUUCGGUGCCCGAGUUGUAAUUUGGAGAGGGCAACUUUGGGGCCGUUCCUUGUCUAUGUUCCUUGGAACAGGACGUCAUAGAGGGUGAGAAUCCCGUGUGGCGAGGAGUGCGGUUCUUUGUAAAGUGCCUUCGAAGAGUCGAGUUGUUUGGGAAUGCAGCUCUAAGUGGGUGGUAAAUUCCAUCUAAAGCUAAAUAUUGGCGAGAGACCGAUAGCGAACAAGUACAGUGAUGGAAAGAUGAAAAGAACUUUGAAAAGAGAGUGAAAAAGUACGUGAAAUUGUUGAAAGGGAAGGGCAUUUGAUCAGACAUGGUGUUUUGUGCCCUCUGCUCCUUGUGGGUAGGGGAAUCUCGCAUUUCACUGGGCCAGCAUCAGUUUGGUGGCAGGAUAAAUCCAUAGGAAUGUAGCUUGCCUCGGUAAGUAUUAUAGCCUGUGGGAAUACUGCC